rnacentral:rRNA from 1 species
GACGAACGCUGGCGGCGUGCUUAACACAUGCAAGUCGAACGGGCCCGCCCCUGUUUUUGGGGGUGGGUUGAGUGGCGAACGGGUGAGUAUCACGUGAGUAACCUGCCCCCUGCUCCUGGAUAACUGCUUGAAAGGGCGGCUAAUACGGGGUGUGCCGGCUGGUCCGCAUGGGCCUGGUCGGGAUAGUUUCAUCUUCGGGUGUUUCGGUGGGGGAUGGGCUCGCGGCCUAUCAGCUUGUUGGUGGGGUGAUGGCCCACCAAGGCGGUGACGGGUAGCCGGCCUGAGAGGGUGGGCGGCCAGACUGGGACUGAGACACGGCCCAGACUCCGGCGGGAGGCAGCAGUGGGGGGUAUUGCACAAUGGGCGGAAGCCUGAUGCAGCGACGUCGCGUGAGGGAUGGGGGCCUUCGGGUUGUGAACCUCUUUCUCCGGUGGUGAAGGCCCUGUCCGUUGCGGCGGGGUUGACGGUAGCCGGGUAUGAAGCGCCGGCUAACUACGUG